rnacentral:rRNA from 1 species
GGCUGAAAUUACGCCUUCCAUGAAGCCGGAAUUGCUAGUAAUGGCAGGUCAGCAUACUGCCGUGAAUACGUUCCCGGGCCCUUGUACACACCGCCCGUCACACCAUGAGAGUUGGGAAUACCCGAAGCCUGUGAGCUAACGUAAGAGGCAGCAGUCGAAGGUAGAAUCAAUGAUUGGGGGUGAAGUCGUAACAAGGUACC